GAUGAACGCUAGCUACAGGCUUAACACAUGCAAGUCGAGGGGAAACGAUAUUGGAAGCUUGCUUCCGAUAGGCGUCGACCGGCGCACGAGUGAGUAACGCGUAUCCAACCUGCCCACCACUUGGGGAUAACCUUGCGAAAGUAAGACUAAUACCCAAUGAUAUCUCUAGAAGACAUCUGAAAGGGAUUAAAGAUUUAUCGGUGAUGGAUGGGGAUGCGUCUGAUUAGCUUGUUGGCGGGGUAACGGCCCACCAAGGCUACGAUCAGUAGGGGUUCUGAUAAGAAGUUCCCCCACAUUGGAACUGAGACACGGUCCAAACUCCUACGGGAGGCAGCAGUGAGGAAUAUUGGUCAAUGGGCGAGAGCCUGAACCAGCCAAGUAGCGUGCAGGAUGACGGCCCUAUGGGUUGUAAACUGCUUUUAUAAGGGAAUAAAGUGAGUCUCGUGAGACUUUUUGCAUGUACCUUAUGAAUAAGGACCGGCUAAUUCCGUGCCAGCAGCCGCCGUAA
rnacentral:rRNA from 1 species